ACUCAAAUGAAUAGACGGGGGCCCGCACAAGCGGUGGAGCAUGUGGUUCAAUUCGACGCAACGCGAAGAACCUUACCUGGGUUAAAUCCACCGGAAUCCCGUGGAGACAUGGGAGUGCUCGCAAGAGAGCCGGUGAGAAGGUGCUGCAUGGCUGUCGUCAGCUCGUGUCGUGAGAUGUUGGGUUAAGUCCCGCAACGAGCGCAACCUCUGUCGUCAGUUGCCAACAGGAAAGCUGGGCACUCUGAUGAGACUGCCGACGUUAAGUCGGAGGAAGGUGGAGACGACGUCAAGUCCUCAUGGCCCUUAUGCCCAGGGCUACACACGUGCUACAAUGGCCGGUACAAAGGGUUGCGACACCGCGAGGUGAAGCCAAUCUCAAAAAACCGGUCUCAGUUCAGAUUGAAGUCUGCAACUCGACUUCAUGAAGUCGGAAUCGCUAGUAAUCCCGGAUCAGCACGCCGGGGUGAAUACGUUCCCGGGCCUUGUACACACCGCCCGU
rnacentral:rRNA from 1 species